rnacentral:rRNA from 1 species
UAUGUAGGGGGCAAGCGUUGUCCGGAAUUAUUGGGCGUAAAGCGCGCGCAGGCGGUCCUUUAAGUCUGAUGUGAAAGCCCACGGCUUAACCGUGGAGGGUCAUUGGAAACUGAGGGACUUGAGUACAGAAGAGGAGAGUGGAAUUCCACGUGUAGCGGUGAAAUGCGUAGAGAUGUGGAGGAACACCAGUGGCGAAGGCGACUCUCUGGUCUGUAACUGACGCUGAGGUGCGAAAGCGUGGGUAGCAAACAGGAUUAGAUACCCU